GAUCAAGUGUCUUAAGGGCAAUUGGUGGAUGCCUUGGCAUGCACAGGCGAUGAAGGACGUGAUACGCUGCGAUAAGCUACGGGGAGGUGCGAAUACCCUUUGAUCCGUAGAUUUCCGAAUGGGGAAACCCACCUAAGGUGCUUGGAAAAUCAGAGCAGCCAGUGGUCGACAAGGCCAACUUGCUGCUGUGGUUUCCAAGUAUCUGUUAUAGGUAACUUAUCCUGAAUACAUAGGGAUAAAGUGGCGAACGCGGGGAACUGAAACAUCUAAGUACCCGUAGGAAAGGACAUCAACCGAGACUCCGGCAGUAGUGGCGAGCGAACCCGGACCAGGCCAGUGGCGAUGAUGAGACAAGCGGAACCUUCUGGAAAGUAGGGCCAUAGUGGGUGACAGCCCCGUACGCGUAAUGCAAAUCAUCGUCCUCGAGUAAGGCGGGACACGUGAAAUCCUGUCUGAAAUUGGGGGGACCACCCUCCAAGCCUAAGUACUCGUGCAUGACCGAUAGCGAACUAGUACCGUGAGGGAAAGGUGAAAAGCACCCCGACAAGGGGAGUGAAAGAGUACCUGAAACCGAUUGCCUACAAACAGUGGGAGCCCGCAAGGGUGACCACGUACCUUUUGUAUAAUGGGUCAGCGACUUAGUGUGACGAGCAAGC
rnacentral:rRNA from 1 species